UUAAGUUAUUAAGGGCGCACGGUGGAUGCCUUGGCACUAGAAGCCGAUGAAGGACGUUACUAACGACGAUAUGCUUUGGGGAGCUGUAAGUAAGCUUUGAUCCAGAGAUUUCCGAAUGGGGAAACCCAGCAUGAGUUAUGUCAUGUUAUCGAUAUGUGAAUACAUAGCAUAUCAGAAGGCACACCCGGAGAACUGAAACAUCUUAGUACCCGGAGGAAGAGAAAGAAAAUUCGAUUCCCUUAGUAGCGGCGAGCGAAACGGGAAGAGCCCAAACCAACAAGCUUGCUUGUUGGGGUUGUAGGACACUCUAUACGGAGUUACAAAGGACGACAUUAGACGAAUCAUCUGGAAAGAUGAAUCAAAGAAGGUAAUAAUCCUGUAGUCGAAAAUGUUGUCUCUCUUGAGUGGAUCCUGAGUACGACGGAGCACGUGAAAUUCCGUCGGAAUCUGGGAGGACCAUCUCCUAAGGCUAAAUACUCUCUAGUGACCGAUAGUGAACCAGUACCGUGAGGGAAAGGUGAAAAGCACCCCGGAAGGGGAGUGAAAUAGAACCUGAAACCGUGUGCUUACAAGUAGUCAGAGCCCGUUAAUGGGUGAUGGCGUGCCUUUUGUAGAAUGAACCGGCGAGUUACGAUUUGAUGCAAGGUUAAGCAGUAAAUGUGGAGCCGUAGCGAAAGCGAGUCUGAAUAGGGCGUUUAGUAUUUGGUCGUAGACCCGAAACCAGGUGAUCUACCCUUGGUCAGGUUGAAGUUCAGGUAACACUGAAUGGAGGACCGAACCGACUUACGUUGAAAAGUGAGCGGAUGAACUGAGGGUAGCGGAGAAAUUCCAAUCGAACCUGGAGAUAGCUGGUUCUCUCCGAAAUAGCUUUAGGGCUAGCCUCAAGUGAUGAUUAUUGGAGGUAGAGCACUGUUUGGACGAGGGGCCCCUCUCGGGUUACCGAAUUCAGACAAACUCCGAAUGCCAAUUAAUUUAACUUGGGAGUCAGAACAUGGGUGAUAAGGUCCGUGUUCGAAAGGGAAACAGCCCAGACCACCAGCUAAGGUCCCAAAAUAUAUGUUAAGUGGAAAAGGAUGUGGCGUUGCCCAGACAACUAGGAUGUUGGCUUAGAAGCAGCCAUCAUUUAAAGAGUGCGUAAUAGCUCACUAGUCGAGUGACACUGCGCCGAAAAUGUACCGGGGCUAAACAUAUUACCGAAGCUGUGGAUUGUCCUUUGGACAAUGGUAGGAGAGCGUUCUAAGGGCGUUGAAGCAUGAUCGUAAGGACAUGUGGAGCGCUUAGAAGUGAGAAUGCCGGUGUGAGUAGCGAAAGACGGGUGAGAAUCCCGUCCACCGAUUGACUAAGGUUUCCAGAGGAAGGCUCGUCCGCUCUGGGUUAGUCGGGUCCUAAGCUGAGGCCGACAGGCGUAGGCGAUGGAUAACAGGUUGAUAUUCCUGUACCACCUAUAAUCGUUUUAAUCGAUGGGGGGACGCAGUAGGAUAGGCGAAGCGUGCGAUUGGAUUGCACGUCUAAGCAGUAAGGCUGAGUAUUAGGCAAAUCCGGUACUCGUUAAGGCUGAGCUGUGAUGGGGAGAAGACAUUGUGUCUUCGAGUCGUUGAUUUCACACUGCCGAGAAAAGCCUCUAGAUAGAAAAUAGGUGCCCGUACCGCAAACCGACACAGGUAGUCAAGAUGAGAAUUCUAAGGUGAGCGAGCGAACUCUCGUUAAGGAACUCGGCAAAAUGACCCCGUAACUUCGGGAGAAGGGGUGCUCUUUAGGGUUAACGCCCAGAAGAGCCGCAGUGAAUAGGCCCAAGCGACUGUUUAUCAAAAACACAGGUCUCUGCUAAACCGUAAGGUGAUGUAUAGGGGCUGACGCCUGCCCGGUGCUGGAAGGUUAAGAGGAGUGGUUAGCUUCUGCGAAGCUACGAAUCGAAGCCCCAGUAAACGGCGGCCGUAACUAUAACGGUCCUAAGGUAGCGAAAUUCCUUGUCGGGUAAGUUCCGACCCGCACGAAAGGCGUAACGAUUUGGGCACUGUCUCAACGAGAGACUCGGUGAAAUCAUAGUACCUGUGAAGAUGCAGGUUACCCGCGACAGGACGGAAAGACCCCGUGGAGCUUUACUGUAGCCUGAUAUUGAAAUUCGGCACAGCUUGUACAGGAUAGGUAGGAGCCUUUGAAACGUGAGCGCUAGCUUACGUGGAGGCGCUGGUGGGAUACUACCCUAGCUGUGUUGGCUUUCUAACCCGCACCACUUAUCGUGGUGGGAGACAGUGUCAGGCGGGCAGUUUGACUGGGGCGGUCGCCUCCUAAAAGGUAACGGAGGCGCUCAAAGGUUCCCUCAGAAUGGUUGGAAAUCAUUCAUAGAGUGUAAAGGCAUAAGGGAGCUUGACUGCGAGACCUACAAGUCGAGCAGGGUCGAAAGACGGACUUAGUGAUCCGGUGGUUCCGCAUGGAAGGGCCAUCGCUCAACGGAUAAAAGCUACCCCGGGGAUAACAGGCUUAUCUCCCCCAAGAGUUCACAUCGACGGGGAGGUUUGGCACCUCGAUGUCGGCUCAUCGCAUCCUGGGGCUGUAGUCGGUCCCAAGGGUUGGGCUGUUCGCCCAUUAAAGCGGUACGCGAGCUGGGUUCAGAACGUCGUGAGACAGUUCGGUCCCUAUCCGUCGUGGGCGUAGGAAAUUUGAGAGGAGCUGUCCUUAGUACGAGAGGACCGGGAUGGACAUACCUCUGGUGUACCAGUUGUCGUGCCAACGGCAUAGCUGGGUAGCUAUGUGUGGACGGGAUAAGUGCUGAAAGCAUCUAAGCAUGAAGUCCCCCUCAAGAUGAGAUUUCCCAACUUCGGUUAUAAGAUCCCUCAAAGAUGAUGAGGUUAAUAGGUUCGAGGUGGAAGCAUGGUGACAUGUGGAGCUGACGAAUACUAAUCGAUCGAAGACUUAAUCAA
rnacentral:rRNA from 1 species